AUAACGAACGAGACUCUGGCCUACUAACUAGAAGGGCCGUUCUAUAUGAGCGGUCCUCUGCUUCUUAGAGGGACGGGCGGCGUUUAGCCGCACGAGAAUGAGCAAUAACAGGUCUGUGAUGCCCUUAGAUGUUCUGGGCUGCACGCGCGCUACACUGAAGGAAUCAGCAUGUUCUCCCCUCCCUGAAAAGGGCGGGUAACCCGUUGAAACUCCUUCGUGAUGGGGAUUGGAGAUUGUAAUUAUUCUCCAUGAACGAGGAAUUCCCAGUAGGCGCGAGUCAUCAGCUUGCGUCGAUUACGUCCCUGCCCUUUGUACACACCGCCCGUCGCUACUACCGAUCGAGUGAUUUAGUGAGGACUUCGGACUGGUCUUCUAGUUGGCUUCGGUCAGCUUGAAGCUCCGGAAAGAUGCCCAAACUUGAUCACUUAGAGGAAGUAAAAGUCGUAACAAGGUUUCCGUAGGUGAACCUGCG
rnacentral:rRNA from 1 species